GCCACAGUGACACACAAAACAUGAGAUCCUGGCCCUGGUGAUCCUGACCAUCUUGCCCCCAGAGGAGGAGAAUAGGUCAAGAAAUGUGGGGCAGUGGCCCUGGCAGAGGGUUUCCUCCUGAGUCAGGCAAAGAAGCAGAAAGAGCAGCAGGUGCUCAGAGUCCAAGGUGGGCCUGACUGGUCUCCAGAGUUAUGGAGAGAGAGGGCUCUGCUGAAUUCCUCCUCCAUGGAAGAAACUUUAGGAAAGAUGACCUUGCAAAAGGUGAACAUCCAUCCCUUCUUUCUUUGCCACUCAGGGCCAGCGGUGGUGGGAUUGGGCUCCUAUGCAACACUUGCCCUGCAGGACCCCUCAAGCCUGUCAUCAGGGCUUGCUCUAUAUCCGAGUUAAAAUGAAAUCAAAUGGCUUUUAGACAGGGUUGGUGACAUCACUUUGGUGGACAGAAGCAGGCAAGUGGUCUCGAGCCAUCAUGAAAGGUAACAAUUGCUAAUUGUUUCAUUUGUUAUUCUUACAUUUUUACUGGCAGGGACAGGAAGAGGUAUUCUCUCACCUAUGUGCCAAAAUAGGGAGCAUAAUAGCUAAAGACAUUUUCCAAAUAACAGUAAUUAAAGGUAGUAGAAAUCCAAAUUACCUGCAGGACACUAGAUUGGGAAUUGCUGCCACACAUGCCAGUUAAUGAUUAGGAGGGUCUAAAUGGAAAAAUUCCUGUGUGCCAUAUAUAUAGAACUUCCCUUUACAUGAGAAGGCUAGUUGAUCAGGGAGCCAGGCUAUAGUCCUCAGGUGCUAAUCUUCAAGAUGCAGGAAGUUAAUGAAAACAGACAAGGGGUUAUUCAGACAUGUCCCCAUCUGUCUAUAUGCUGAAGCACUUCAAUACUGCUGGGGGUGCACCAUGGUUUUCCUCCACAUCUGAUGAGUCUCUGUGUGUCUGAGGGCUGCUUCCUGUUGCAGGUGACCUUUAAGGAUGUGGCUGUGUAUUUCACAGAGGAGGAAUGGAACCUUCUGGAUCAGAAGCAAAAAUCUUUGUACAUGCAGAUCACGAUGGAAAACUACGAGAAUGUUUCUGCCGUAGAAAAUCACUGGAGGAAGAUGUAUGUAUGCACUGAUCUGCAUCUUAUGAGCUGCCAGAGAGUCCACAUACCAGGCAAAGAAUACAGAUGGCAAGAUCAUGGGAAAUGUUCUGUUUAUAAUUCACAUAUUGUGAGUUAUACAAUAGACCAAAGAAGACAGGAGCCAUACAGAUGCCAGCACUGUUGGAAGUGUUUUGUUUGGAAGUCACAACUUCUUAUUCAUCAGAGUGUCCACACAGGAGAGAAACCAUUCAAAUGCCAGCAGUGUGGAAAAUGUGUUGCUCUCAAGUCACACCUUAAGAGUCACUUGAAA